rnacentral:rRNA from 1 species
UACAGAGGUCUCAAGCGUUUGUUCGGAUUCAUUGGGCGUAAAGGGUGCGUAGGUGGCGCUGUAAGUCGGGUGUGAAAUUUCGGAGCUUAACUCCGAAACUGCAUUUGAUACUGCGGUGCUUGAGGACUGGAGAGGAGACUGGAAUUCACGGUGUAGCAGUGAAAUGCGUAGAUAUCGAUGAGGAAGACCAGUGGCGAAGGCGGGUCUCGUAGGCCGAACACGAUGACGCUGGAGGAGCGAAAGCCGUGGGGAGCGAACAGG